AGUAGCAAACAAUUUAUUUGGAUUCACACAGGGAAGGAGAGGUAGGGGUGUCAGGCAAGGAAAGUGGGGAGUAGGAAACCCUAAUACUUGUGUCCUCUGGAAGACUGCCUCCCCCAAGUUCUUGGGGUUCAAGACUAUUCCUCAGGCUUUUAAUUCAGGAGUCCAGGAACAGGUCAGGGAGAGAGAAAAUUUCAGGGAAAGAUCUGGAUGGCUCUGGCCAGAGUGAGUCCAAAUACAAAACCCCCUUGAGAAUUCAGGUAGCUAUUCUUUAAGAGUCUUAGUGGAGGCAUUUUUGAGUCCCAGAAGGAAUAACAGGUCCCAAAUGGAUAGGCUCUUUCUCAGCUUCCAGGAAAAACACCUUCCUACUUCCCUCCUAGGCUGAAAGACCAUUGACAGUUGGAGCUUCAGAGUUCUAAUUCCUUUAGAACUCCCCGGCUUCUCUCUCUGCCCUCCUCUGCUGCUCCUCAGCUGAUCUAUCUUUCAGCCUGGCUUGUCAUUGGAACCCCUUGGAUCUCUCUUUCUUACAUUUCAAUGGAAAUCACCAUCUGCUUCAGGAAGUGGAAUCGAAGGUUGAAGAGCUGACAAUAUCAUAUGUUUGGAGAUCCUUUAUUUGCAGCAGUACACAUGCACCGUUUGUGCAGCUAGAAAAAGAAGUCGAUGAGUCACGGCUGGUCUAUAUAGGAACAUGAACCAACGAAUCUUUCUCACUCUCUUUUCCUGAAUUCCUUGAAGUGCAUCCACUUAAUAAUUAGAGAAAACACUCUACCUCCACCCAAAGAAGAGUUCAUUUUGUUAGGGGAAAAUCUCCUAACUCUGAGAGGUAGAAGGUGAAAGAAAUCUCAGCAAAGUUUAUGUUUAUUAAAGGAAAUGGACUAAACAAAUGCAGUCCUCAAUUCAUAUAUCCCUCAGGCCAUGGGAUUAUUUCAGUCCAGACUGGCAAAUAGUUGACCUCAGAAUGUCUUCUAUUUAUGAGAAUGGGUAACACACUGGAAAAAUUACCAUUCCUCCCAUUUUAGAGGUUCUGUAGGAUAACUGAGGAAUCUUUGGAAUCAGUUGGAAAAACUGAGUUUAGUUGUUAACUGAUAAUAACUAUCAUUGACCUUUGGCAAGUUUUUUAUCUUCUCCAAAUCUCAGCUUCUUCAUUAAUAAAAUGAGGGGAUUACAUGAAAUGAUUUUUAAA
rnacentral:lncRNA from 1 species